rnacentral:rRNA from 1 species
UCAGGAUGAACGCUGGCGGCGUGCCUAAUACAUGCAAGUCGAACGCUUUGUCUUUAACUGAUCUGACGAGCUUGCUCUGAUUUGAUUUUAUCUGACAAAGAGUGGCGAACGGGUGAGUAACACGUGGGUAACCUACCUCUUAGCAGGGGAUAACAUUUGGAAACAAGUGCUAAUACCGUAUAAUACCAACAACCGCAUGGUUGUUGGUUGAAAGAUGGUUCUGCUAUCACUAAGAGAUGGACCCGCGGUGCAUUAGCUAGUUGGUAAGGUAACGGCUUACCAAGGCAAUGAUGCAUAGCCGAGUUGAGAGACUGAUCGGCCACAAUGGGACUGAGACACGGCCCAUACUCCUACGGGAGGCAGCAGUAGGGAAUCUUCCACAAUGGGCGCAAGCCUGAUGGAGCAACGCCGCGUGUGUGAUGAAGGGUUUCGGCUCGUAAAACACUGUUAUAAGAGAAGAACGGCACUGAGAGUAACUGUUCAGUGUGUGACGGUAUCUUACCAGAAAGGAACGGCUAAAUACGUGCCAGCAGCCGCGGUAAUACGUAUGUUCCAAGCGUUAUCCGGAUUUAUUGGGCGUAAAGCGAGCGCAGACGGUUAUUUAAGUCUGAAGUGAAAGCCCUCAGCUCAACUGAGGAAUGGCUUUGGAAACUGGAUGACUGA